rnacentral:rRNA from 1 species
GACGAACCGUGCAAACGUUGUUCGGAAUCACUGGGCUUAAAGGGCGCGUAGGCGGGGGACCAAGUCCGGGGUGAAAUCUUUCGGCUCAACCGGAAAACUGCCUUGGAUACUGGUCUUCUAGAGGGAGGUAGGGGCAGGUGGAACUUGCGGUGGAGCGGUGAAAUGGGUUGAUAUCGGAAGGAACGCCGGUGGCGAAAGCGACCUGCUGGCUCUCUUCUGACGCUGAGGCGCGAAAGCUAGGGGAGCGAACGGG